CCUACGGGAGGCAGCAGUGAGGAAUAUUGGUCAAUGGACGCAAGUCUGAACCAGCCAUGCCGCGUGCAGGAAGACGGCUCUAUGAGUUGUAAACUGCUUUUGUACGAGGGUAAACGCAGAUACGCGUAUCUGUCUGAAAGUAUCGUACGAAUAAGGAUCGGCUAACUCCGUGCCAGCAGCCGCGGUAAUACGGAGGAUUCAAGCGUUAUCCGGAUUUAUUGGGUUUAAAGGGUGCGUAGGUGGUCGGAUAAGUUAGAGGUGAAAUCCCGAGGCUCAACUUCGGAAUUGCCUUUGAUACUGUUCGUCUAGAGAGUAGUUGCGGUAGGCGGAAUGUAUGGUGUAGCGGUGAAAUGCUUAGAGAUCAUACAGAACACCGAUUGCGAAGGCAGCUUACCAGGCUACUUCUGACGUUGAGGCACGAAAGCGUGGGGAGCAAACAGGAUUAGAUACCCCGGUAGUC
rnacentral:rRNA from 1 species